rnacentral:rRNA from 1 species
AUUGAACGCUGGCGGCAAGCCUAACACAUGCAAGUCGAACGAGUGGCGGACGGGUGAGUAAUGUAUGGGGAACUGCCUGAUGGAGGGGGAUAACUACUGGAAACGGUAGCUAAUACCGCAUACCAUCAGAUGUACCCAUAUGGGAUUAGCUAGUAGGUGGGGUAAAGGCUUACCUAGGCGACGAGCCCUAGCUGGUCUGAGAGGAUGACCAUCCACACUGGUACUGAGACACGGUCCAGACUCCUACGGGAGGCAGCAGUGGGGAAUAGUGCACAAUGGGCGCAAGCCGGAUGCAGCCAUGCCGCGUGUAUGAAGAAGGCCUUCGGGUUGUAAAGUACUUUCAGCGGGGAGGCGUUACCCGCAGAAGAAGCACCGGCUAACUCCGUGCCAGCAGCCGCGGUAAUUC